UAUUCUUAGGUAAGAUGUAAGGGUAGAAUGGUGGCCCCUGCAAAAGGUAAGCCUUCCUCCUAAUCCUAGAAUCGUGGAUGGUACCUUAUUUGGAUAAAAAGGUCUUUGCAGAUGUAAUUAAGAACCUUGAGAUGAGGAGAUCAUCCUGGAUUAUCUGGUGGACUGUAAAGUCAAUGACAUGUAUUCAUAUAUGACAGAAGAGAAGACAUGGAGAAGAGGAGGGAGUAGUUGUGACCGUGGAGGCAGAGAAUGGAGUAAUGUGAUCAUAAAUCAAGGAAUGCUGACAGCCACUAAAGCUGGAGAAGGCCAAGGACAGAUAUUCAAUCCUCCCGUAGAAGUACAGCCCUGCUAAUGCAUUGAUUUUGGACUUCUGGCCUCAGAACUAUUUAUAUAUCAGCUUUGUAUCAGUUGAAAUAAACCACCCUGGGCAGUGGCUCACACCUGUAAUCCCAGCACUUUGGGAGGCCGAGGCAGGUAGAUCAUUUGAGGUCAGGAGUUCAAGGCCAGCCUGACCAACAUGGUGAAACCACAUCUCUACUAAAAAAUACAAAAAUUAGCCCGGUGUUGUGGCAGGCGCUUGCAAUCCCAGCUACUCAGGAGGCUGAGGCACAAGAAUUCCUUGAACCUGGGAGGUGGAGGUUGCAGUGAGUCGAAACCAAGCCACUGCCCUCCAGUCUGGGCAACAGAUUGAGAAUCUGUCUCAAAAAAAAUAAAUACAUAAAAAAGCCACACUGUACUUGUGAAGAUUAACUGAGAUGUUUAAAACAUUAUUUGCAAAAAUGCAAGACAUGAUGUAAGUGUAAAGCAUUAUUAUAUAUCAACAUAAUUGACCAUUAGAAAAAUGCAAAUUAACACCUCAAUGAGAUAUA
rnacentral:lncRNA from 1 species